AACGAACGCUGGCGGCAGGCCUAACACAUGCAAGUCGAACGCUCGUAGCAAUACGGGAGUGGCAGACGGGUGCGUAACGCGUGGGAACAUACCCUUUGGUUCGGAAUAACUCAGGGAAACUUGAGCUAAUACCGGAUACGCCCGAGAGGGAAGAUUAUUGCCGAAGGAUUGGCCCGCGUCUGAUUAGCUUGUUGGUAGGGUAACGGCCUACCAAGGCGACGAUCAGUAGCUGGUCUGAGAGGAUGAUCAGCCACACUGGGACUGAGACACGGCCCAGACUCCUACGGGAGGCAGCAGUGGGGAAUAUUGGACAAUGGGCGCAAGCCUGAUCCAGCC
rnacentral:rRNA from 1 species